rnacentral:lncRNA from 1 species
GAACUCUGGUUGAAACUGGAACUCUGAGAAGGGUGGAGAGAGCCCCCAGGUGGGACUCUGGGACAGGGGGCGGGGCGAGGAGUGAGGGAGCAGGACUCUGGUGGGCCAGGCCCUCCCACUGGCUGGGUGGGCAGGCGCCUACUUCUGGGCGGGGAUCAUGUCGUCAAUGGACUGGCCUUUCUCCAACUUCUUCUCCAUUUCCACCAUGAGCUUCACACCAUCCACC